rnacentral:rRNA from 1 species
GACGAACGCUGGCGGCGUGCCUAAUACAUGCAAGUUGAGCGCUGAAGGUUGGUACUUGUACCGACUGGAUGAGCAGCGAACGGGUGAGUAACGCGUGGGGAAUCUGCCUUUGAGCGGGGGACAACAUUUGGAAACGAAUGCUAAUACCGCAUAAAAACUUUAAACACAAGUUUUAAGUUUGAAAGAUGCAAUUGCAUCACUCAAAGAUGAUCCCGCGUUGUAUUAGCUAGUUGGUGAGGUGAAGGCUCACCAAGGCGAUGAUACAUAGCCGACCUGAGAGGGUGAUCGGCCACAUUGGGACUGAGACACGGCCCAAACUCCUACGGGAGGCAGCAGUAGGGAAUCUUCGGCAAUGGACGAAAGUCUGACCGAGCAACGCCGCGUGAGUGAAGAAGGGUUUCGGAUCGUAAAACUCUGUUGGUAGAGAAGAACGUUGGUGAGAGUGGAAAGCUCAUCAAGUGACGGUAACUACCCAGAAAGGGACGGCUAACUACGUG